UUGAAAGAUGGUUUCGGCUAUCGCUUACAGAUGGGCCCGCGGUGCAUUAGCUAGUUGGUAGGGUAAUGGCCUACCAAGGCAACGAUGCAUAGCCGACCUGAGAGGGUGAUCGGCCACACUGGGACUGAGACACGGCCCAGACUCCUACGGGAGGCAGCAGUAGGGAAUCUUCCGCAAUGGACGAAAGUCUGACGGAGCAACGCCGCGUGUAUGAAGAAGGUUUUCGGAUCGUAAAGUA
rnacentral:rRNA from 1 species